rnacentral:rRNA from 1 species
CAGUCGCCGCGGGAAUACGUAGGGUGCAAGCGUUAAUCGGAAUUACUGGGCGUAAAGCGUGCGCAGGCGGUUUGUUAAGACAGAUGUGAAAUCUCCGGGCUCAACCUGGGAACUGCAUUUGUGACUGGCAAGCUAGAGUGUGGCAGAGGGGGGUGGAAUUCCGCGUGUAGCAGUGAAAUGCGUAGAUAUGCGGAGGAACACCGAUGGCGAAGGCAGCCCCCUGGGCCAACACUGACGCUCAUGCACGAAAGCGUGGGGAGCAAACAGGAUUAGAUACCCCCGUAGUCCCUGUCUCUUAUAC